UACGUAGGUGGCAAGCGUUGUCCGGAUUUAUUGGGCGUAAAGCGCGCGUAGGCGGCUACUUAAGUCGGAUGUGAAAGCCCCUGGCUCAACUGGGGAAGUGCACCCGAAACUGAGUAGCUAGAGUGCAAAAGAGGGUCGCGGAAUUCCCGGUGUAGAGGUGAAAUUCGUAGAUAUCGGGAGGAACACCGGUGGCGAAGGCGGCGACCUGGGUUGACACUGACGCUGAGGCGCGAAAGCGUGGGGAGCAAACAGG
rnacentral:rRNA from 1 species